GGCUCAUCACAUCCUGGGGGUGAAGAAGCUCCCAAGGGUUCGGCUGUUCGCCGAUGAAAGUGGUACGUGAGCUGGGUUCAGACCGUCGUGAGACAGGUCGGUCCCUAUCUGCUGUGGGCGUUCGAAACUUGAGGGGAUUCUUCUUUAGUACGAGAGGAUUUGGAAGGACGAACCUCUGGUGUUCCAGUUGUCGCGCUAGCGGCACGGCUGGAUAGCUAAGUUCGGAAAGGAUAAACGCUGAAAGCAUCUAAGCGUGAAGCCCCCCCCGAGAUUAGGUUUCGUACGUACUUGAUACGAGAGCCCCCUUGAAGACGACGAGGUUGAUAGGCUGGAUGUGUAAGCUCAGUAAUGGGUUUAGCUAACCAGUACUAACGGGCGAACGCUUGACCAC
rnacentral:rRNA from 1 species